rnacentral:rRNA from 1 species
GCUCAACCGGGGAGUGUCAUUGGAAACUGGGGAACUUGAGUGCAGAAGAGGAGAGUGGAAUUCCACGUGUAGCGGUGAAAUGCGUAGAGAUGUGGAGGAACACCAGUGGCGAAGGCGACUCUCUGGUCUGUAACUGACGCUGAGGCGCGAAAGCGUGGGGAGCGAACAGGAUUAGAUACCCUGGUAGUCCACGCCGUAAACGAUGAGUGCUAAGUGUUAGAGGGUUUCCGCCCUUUAGUGCUGCAGCAAACGCAUUAAGCACUCCGCCUGGGGAGUACGGUCGCAAGACUGAAACUCAAAGGAAUUGACGGGGGCCCGCACAAGCGGUGGAGCAUGUGGUUCAAUUCGAAGCAACGCGAAGAACCUUACCAGGUCUUGACAUCCUCUGACAACCCUAGAGAUAGGGCUUCCCCUUCGGGGGCAGAGUGACAGGUGGUGCAUGGUUGUCGUCAGCUCGUGUCGUGAGAUGUUGGGUUAAGUCCCGCAACGAGCGCAACCCUUGAUCUUAGUUGCCAGCAUUCAGUUGGGCACUCUAAGGUGACUGCCGGUGACAAACCGGAGGAAGGUGGGGAUGACGUCAAAUCAUCAUGCCCCUUAUGACCUGGGCUACACACGUGCUACAAUGGGCAGAACAAAG